ensembl:miRNA
AUGGGGUUAUUUUUACUUUCGGUUAUCUAGCUUUAUGAAGACUUGAGCCCACUCAUACAGCUAGAUAACCAAAGAUAAC